rnacentral:rRNA from 1 species
AACGAACGCUGGCGGCAUGCCUAACACAUGCAAGUCGAACGAGACCUUCGGGCCUUGUGGCGGUGGGGUACGUACCGAGUGGGAACCUGCCCUUAGGUAAGGAAUACCUCACCGUAGGGGGUGCUCAUACCGGUUAAUGUAAUAGGACCUAAGAUUUCUCGCCUCUGGGUGGGGCCGCGUUGGAUUCGCUGGUUGGUAGGGUACACGCCUACCAAGGCGACGAUCCUUAGCUGGUCUGAGAGGAUGAGCAGCCACGCUGGGACUGAGACACGGCCCAUACUCCGACGGGAGGCAGCAGUGGGGAAUAUUGGACGAGGGGCGAAAGCCUGAUCCAGCAAUGCCGCGGGAGUGAUGAAGGCCUUAUGGUUGUAAAGCUCUUUUAGCCGGGAUGAUAAUGACAGUACCGGGAGAAUAAGCGCCGGCUAACUCCGUG